rnacentral:lncRNA from 1 species
AAGAAUAUAAAAAAUAUAAACACACAGUUUAAAGUCUUCUUUGAAUGUCAUUUCUUACAAGUAUUCUCAAUAACUUGUAUAAACAUUUUUAAUAAAAACGUUAAUAACAAAUAAAUAAUAAUCAAAAUAAAUUAAAAAGUAUGUGUGCAUAUACAUAUUUUAAAAUAUAAUUUUUGUUAAAAAGUGCGCUCAGAUAAAGUUUUGAAUAUUAUAAAGAUUUUGUCAUCGCCCAAAUUUAUUUAUUUUUUGGUUACGUAUUAGUAUACGUAAUGUCCGUCUUUACUUAGGGAAGGCCUCGAAAACUGACGGGGGUUUCUUCAUUGGCCAUGUGUCGUCACUUCAUAUAAACUAAUAAAUUUUAGAAAAAAUAACAUCCGUCUUUCGUAAUGGUAUGGCCUCAAAUAUCCAGACGGGUAAAUAAUUUCAUUGGCCAUUUGUCGGCCUUUGAUAUAAAUACUAAAUUUGAAAAUGUAAAGUCCGUCUUUAUAAUGGAAUGGCCUCAAAUAUCGAGACGGAGAUAUAAUUUCAUUGGCCAUGUGUCGGCCUUUGAUAUAAAUAGUAAAUUUAAAAAUGUAAAGUCUGCCUUUGUAAUGAGAUGGCCUCAAAUAUCCCGACGGAGAGAUAAUUUCUUUGGCCAAUAAUAGGAUAAUGUCCCAAAGACAAUAAAGGUAAAAAAUUCAACGUCAACAAUGUGGGAUCGGCUAGAGAAACAAUGACUGUCAGAAUACAUAACUAGAACAAACAAUUAAUAAAAUACUGAAACGGUUUAAUUAGUAACAUGGCAGCCAAGAUCCCAUCAUCGAAAAAUCCACCGGUGUCGAAACUUCAACGAAAAUAAGAAGAUAAGGAUGAACAAAAGAUAGAAAAAUUUAUAUACACAGAUGUACGAAAUGCAGUCAAUAGCAACAAAAUGAAACUUUAAUGAAUAAUGGGCAGAUCUGUCAAGAUCUACAAUAGUAACACUGUUAAUGGGAAAUAGGGGUUUGAAAUAAUGCAGUAGUAAUGCGGCUGGUGUCUGGCAGCUCACCCGCCGAUGAACAAUUCCUGCGAGGUAGUGGGAAGAGAGAAAAGAAAGAGGGGCGGCACAGUGGUUCGCUGGCCACGGUGUUCUACGACGACGAUGGUGCAUGGAUGGAGGUCACCGUUUAUGGACUGUUGGGCGACGGGAAAGAGGUGUGGUGGUAACGGGUUAUUGUCAUUGGUAGCCGGCCGUCCGGUGGCUAGCCGGCGGCAGCUGACAGUCAUGAUGAUUUUGGUGUAGAGAGAGGAAGAGAGAGAAAAGGGAUAAGAGAGAGAGAGCUAUCUGAUGUAGCAUAUUUGUGUUAUGCGUAUG